AUUGAACGCUGGCGGCAGGCCUAACACAUGCAAGUCGAGCGAGUGGCGGACGGGUGAGUAAUGUCUGGGGAACUGCCCGAUAGAGGGGGAUAACUACUGGAAACGGUAGCUAAUACCGCAUAUCAUCGGAUGUACCCAGAUGGGAUUAGCUGGUGGGUGGGGUAAAGGCUCACCAAGGCGACGAUCCCUAGCUGGUCUGAGAGGAUGAUCAGCCACACUGGAACUGAGACACGGCCCAGACUCCUACGGGAGGCAGCAGUGGGGAAUAUUGCACAAUGGGCGCAAGCCUGAUGCAGCCAUGCCGCGUGUAUGAAGAAGGCCUUAGGGUUGUAAAGUACUUUCAGCGGGGAGGCGUUACCCGCAGAAGAAGCACCGGCUAACUCCGUGCCAGCAGCCGCGGUAAUUC
rnacentral:rRNA from 1 species